GCCACCGUAGCUCAGUUGGUAGAGCAGCUGAUUCGUAAUCAGCAGGUCGACGGUUCAAGCCCGCCCGGUGGCU
rnacentral:tRNA from 1 species